CCUUGACCUCACUCCUCACCAUCCUCACCCUCACUCAGGCACUCUCUCUCGACCUCACCCUCACUCAUUCACUCUCUCUCUCUCUCGAUCUCACCUCUCACCUCACCCUCCUCGCCGAUUUCUCUUUAUCUCUCCUCCUCCUCCCACAUCAGACAAGUGACUCACCCUCACUGUGGAGCCUUCCUUCUCAUUCCUCACCUCACUGUGCACCGAUUCUCCCCCAAAUCAAGUUUUCUUCAAUCCUGAGAUUUAUAGCACCGACUGCACCACUCCAUUACCCGUUGUAAUUUGCAGGCCUACCUGGUUUCAUUUCUCUGGUUGUUGGGUAAUUGGAUUUGCAAGGACCUCUCCUAGAAGGUUUCAUCCUUGCAAGUUGUUCACUGAUCUCCGAAAGCUUUAGUUGCGAAGCAAUGUAUCUUUUAUCAGUGCCAAGCAAUGUAUUAAAAGCGUGAGGCGUGGGCGAGGCGUCUGAGGGAUAACCCAACCUAGGCAUGAGGCGAAGCCUCAUGGGACCUAAAUUUUUUAAUAUAUACACUGAGCAUAUACAUAUUAUAUUAAAAAAAAGAAGAUUAUUAAUCAAUAAUCACCCUGAGCACACACAUAUAUUAUAAAUACAUAUACACACAUGUAUGUAUACAUAUAUUAUAUAUAUAAAAUAGAGGAUGAAAAGCACAAUGAGCACACGUGUAACAAUGCACGCAGACGGUACACACAUCCUUUAUAUAAAAAAUAAAAAUCAGAAAACAAGGCAGAGAGAUGAUAGAGCAAGGAAGAUGUAUGAGGUAGUUGAAACCCUACCCAAAAUUUGGGUUUGAGAGUAUAUAUAUAAAAUAAAAAAAAUUCCCCUGAGGCGGCUCCGGCAACAUCUUCCGGCGCCUUUCACCCACUCCCUUAAAACAGAGGUGGCAACCCUCAAGACCAGCCUCACAGGGUGACUAGACGCUCCCUGAGGCGAGCCUUUUAAAACAUUGGUGCCAAUCUAUCACACUCAAGUCUUUGGAAUUCUACUUUGGUGGUUUUAGGGACGACAGUAAAAUGGUAGAGUUGUCCGAUAGAGUUCUGAAAGCUACAAAUUCGAAUGCAUGUUCUUUCUCCAGUCAACAAUAAAAGACAAGUAAUUUGUACUCAAUGUUGGGUAGGACGUGGCAUGAAAGCUGGUUCCUUAUAUGCGUUGUGAAAAAAAACCUAGUAAUAUCAAGUAUAAGCAAUGCGUAAUAUCAAAUCAUAUACAGAAAUUAUCAAGAUUCCCAAAAAACAAUGUACACAAAUUGAAAAUUUAGUCGAGAAAUCAAACAAAACUUGAAUGUUUUCAAGAAUUCAUACAAACACAUAAACAUUUCAAGAAAUCACGCAAAAACUAAAAUUCAGUCAAGAAAAAAAAUACCUGAUCGAAGAGAUUGCUUCCAGAAGACCUUUGCUUUUUGGUUCCACUUUCCACCACCUCUCUUUUCCUGUUCACAGAAAUAGUCAUAAAUAAUGUGCUUUUGUCAGCAGUUCUUCCGAUGACGCAAGGGUGUCACGGGCGACAGAGGUGUCGACAGCGACGGAGGAAAAUACACCCAGAAUGAAGUUGUGGGCGACGGAAGCGUUGAAGGUGACGGAGGACAAUUUAGAAGAGGUAAAAAUGGGAGAAAAAUGGGAUACUGAGUGGUGAAGCAGAAAGAAAAAAGGGAUUUUGGGAUUUGUAAUAAUAAAAUUUAAAAAAAAAAAAAAACUGGCCGAUGCUUAGCUGUAGCUGAAUGAAUAAAACUAAUUUUUCAAAUUUUUUUACAAAUCCCAUAAUCCUUUUUUACUUUCUGCUUCACCACUCAAUAUUCCAUUUUUACCUCUUCUCAAUUAUCCUUUGUCGCCGCCAACGCCUCAGUUGCCCACGACUUCAUUCUAGGUGGAUUGUCCUUCGUCGCCGUCGACGCCUCUUUUGCCCGCGACAUCCUUGCGUCCUCAGAAGAACUACUGACAUAAGCACAUUAUUUGUGACUAUUUUUGUGAAGAGGAAAAGGGAGGUGGUGGAAGGUGGAACCAAAAGGCAAAGGCGUUCUGGAAGCAAUCUCUUUGAUCACUCAUGUAUUUUUUUCUUGACUGAAUUUCAGUUUUUGUAUGAUUUCUUGAAAUGUUUAUGUGUUUGUAUGGAUUCUUGAAAACAUUCAAUUUUUGUUUGAUUUCUCGACUAAAAUUAUUAUGAAAAAUUUGGGGCUCCUGUUCCAUCUUUACUCUUCAAUUUGAGCGAGUUUAAUUCUGAGUUGUGGGGAUCUAUAAUUUCAUUUCUUUUUAUUUCAUGUGGUUAUGAUGUUGAAUCAUGACCAUUGCAUAGGUGGUGAUCA